GUAGGGAAUAUUGGGCAAUGGAGGCAACUCUGACCCAGCCAUGCCGCGUGCAGGAAGACGGCCCUCUGGGUUGUAAACUGCUUUUAUCUGGGAAGAAAAAGGCCAUGCGUGGCAAAUUGCCGGUACCACAUGAAUAAGCACCGGCUAACUCCGUGCCAGCAGCCGCGGUAAUACGGAGGGUGCGAGCGUUGUCCGGAUUUAUUGGGUUUAAAGGGUGCGUAGGCGGCUGAUUAAGUCAGCGGUGAAGGACUUCGGCUUAACCGGAGCAGUGCCGUUGAUACUGGUUGGCUUGAGUGUCGGAGGGGUACAUGGAAUUGAUGGUGUAGCGGUGAAAUGCAUAGAUACCAUCAGGAACACCGAUAGCGAAGGCAUUGUACUGGCCGACAACUGACGCUGAUGCACGAAAGUGUGGGGAUCGAACAGGAUUAGAAACCCCAGUAGUCC
rnacentral:rRNA from 1 species